GUGGGGAAUCUUGCGCAAUGGGCGAAAGCCUGACGCAGCCAUGCCGCGUGAAUGAUGAUGGUCUUAGGAUUGUAAAAUUCUUUCACCGGGGACGAUAAUGACGGUACCCGGAGAAGAAGCCCCGGCUAACUUCGUGCCAGCAGCCGCGGUAAUACGAAGGGGGCUAGCGUUGCUCGGAAUUACUGGGCGUAAAGGGCGCGUAGGCGGAUCGUUAAGUCAGGGGUGAAAUCCCAGAGCUCAACUCUGGAACUGCCCUUGAUACUGGCGAUCUUGAGUGUGAGAGAGGUAUGUGGAACUCCGAGUGUAGAGGUGAAAUUCGUAGAUAUUCGGAAGAACACCAGUGGCGAAGGCGACAUACUGGCUCAUUACUGACGCUGAGGCGCGAAAGCGUGGGGAGCAAACAGGAUUAGAAACCCGAGUAGUCC
rnacentral:rRNA from 1 species